rnacentral:tRNA from 1 species
AUAUUUAUAGUAUAAAAGUACAUAUCACUUACAAUGACAAGGUCUAAAUUUUUUUGGUAAAUAGUA